UAGAAAGACAGGACUUGAACCUGCACAAAAAGACUCAAAAUCUUUUGUACUCCAUUAUACUACCCUCUA
rnacentral:tRNA from 1 species